rnacentral:lncRNA from 1 species
UAUACAUUGAACACAAAUUUACAAUUAUUUCAUAAUUACAAAAAUAAUUAAAUUUACAAUUGAAAUGUUACAUAUGUAUAACUGAAAUUUAUGGGUCAGCAUUAAAUUCGAACAAAUCACAUGCUAGCUUCUUUCUCCAGUUCUGUAUCCACGACUGGUUGAUUUCAUCAACCUUAUGUCCUAUACUUAAAAAUUCAACGUACUUAAUGGCAAAUAUGCCACAGUCGCCGCUGCAAUUGAACAAGAAUGAAUCAGUGUAGUACUGUGUAAAUAAAAACUAAAUCUAAAAGAUGAAAACAACAACGUUCAAACACUUACCUUACGGACUGUCGGGCUGUCGUCGUGUUCCGAACGAUCCGCAAUCUGUCCUGUACAUUUAUCCCCGCUCGUCUGGCUAUCAUAGGAACAAUGACAGCCACGGACUCCAGAUUUUGCUCCAACUGGCCUUGUGUCAAACAUGAAUGAUCUGGGUCGUACACAUAUAUAGUAGAGUCAGCAAAAACGAUCUCCAGCGUAACAUAGUGUUUAUUGAUGCACGCUGGAAUGUACAUAUGUGUACAACCCUCCCAUGAUUUUCCCGCGACACUCGGUGACAGUCCUAUCACCCACUCGAGCAUAUAUUCUGGCACCGUGUACUCGUUACCCAUAUGUGCGAGCGACUGAUACUCUAUGGUAACGGCACCCAGGAACUCGGUGUUUAAUAUGACUCGACCAUGGACAUCAAAUGAUUUUGGAUGUCUUUGAGCUCGAUCUCGCAGCAAGUCCAUGGCCAGGUCGAUGUGCUGUAGCAGGAAACACCGAAAAAGUAU